rnacentral:rRNA from 1 species
AACGAACGCUGGCGGCAUGCCUAACACAUGCAAGUCGAACGAGACCUUCGGGUCUAGUGGCGCACGGGUGCGUAACGCAUGGGAACCUGCCCUUAGGUUCGGAAUAACUCCCCGAAAGGGGUGCUAAUACCGGAUAAUGUCUUCGGACCAAAGAUUUAUCGCCUUUGGAUGGGCCCGCGUUGGAUUAGCUAGUUGGUAGGGUAAAAGCCUACCAAGGCGACGAUCCAUAGCUGGUCUGAGAGGAUGAUCAGCCACACUGGGACUGAGACACGGCCCAGACCCCUACGGGAGGCAGCAGUGGGGAAUAUUGGACAAUGGGCGAAAGCCUGAUCCAGCAAUGCCGCGUGAGUGAUGAAGGCCUUAGGGUUGUAAAGCUCUUUUACCCGGGAUGAUAAUGACAGUACCGGGAGAAUAAGCUCCGGCUAACUCCGUG